AUAAGCAAUGGAGGAUUCUGAGAGCUUCUCUGUCAUUUUUUAUUUUCUUAGUUGUUAGUGGGCUGAUAACCGCACUCCUGACAUGGCUAAAUGGAAACAUGUCUAACACCAUUUGAGUGAUAAGGAGGAAGAUCAAAAACCUGUGAUACACUUUCUGUAAAUGGGCAUUUCACCACUCAACUGAAAGCUCAUUCCUCUUCUGAGGUGAUUACCAGAAUUAUAUAGUCCCUAACCUGCACAGUGAGUGACGGUCCAGUGACUGCAGUCAACAUCCAUCUUGGAAAAAGAAUUAAACUUAUUGGUUUGUGUUUUCUGCUACUUCUUGCCAGAAGAUGACAAAAGAUAUCCUUACAUCUGGGAUUCAACUGAAAGAGACAGCACUCAACUCAAUAAUCAGUUUGGGAUGAAAGGACUGCUUUAACACAGCACGCUUGACUGGAGAAAUCUGGCAGAGUUACUGGGAGCCAAUUGAAAGUUGGUAUAAGCUACAUCACUUCCUAGUAGUUGCCCUUCAUAUAGUCUUUGGUGGCAUUAUUAGUUUUAGGGUGAUUCAGCCUUUACCCAAACUGCAGAAGCUGCUGCCUCCUGAGCAUCAUGAUCCAAGCCAUCUCUGGUGCUGUGCCAUCCGCCUGAUAAAUAACGGAGCCAACUUAAAAGUCCCUUUCUGCCCUGCUCUCUCUGAGCUGAGCAGUGGCUUUACUCUGGAGCAGGAUUACGUGCUCCUGCGGUAGGGAGGGUGCCAGGAGUCAUAUUCAAUGUUCUUGGCUGCUCCUACAACAUUACUAAUGUUCAGAUAAGCAUUGCUGGUAUUUCUGCAGCACUGAUUUCUUUCACACACCACACAGAUGUUUCAAGAAGGUCUACACUUGUUCUUGUGAUGUGCUUCUAUGGAAUAUCAGAACAAAAUCCAUUAGAGACAUGCCCUUGCUAAUGAGAGUAAGUAGUUUUCCAAAGCUACGUUUAUUGAGUAGUUUUGUUCUAGUAAUAUAAAGAAAAAUCAUACGCAACACAUCUGCACAAUUCUGUUUGAAUCCAUAUAGAAGAGAGAGGUUUGGAAGGUCGCUUUUCUUUUCUUUCCAUUAUUCUUUCUCCCAACCUCUGUGCCGUGAAUUCUAUGCUUAAGAAAUUAAAUACAAACCAGGAUAUAAGUCAAACAGUUUAAAACCAAAAUUUCUCACUGCUCAGCUGUCUAAAACUGUUGAGCUACAGAAAUGAUGAAGAGAAAAGAAAGAACAAACUAAAUCACUAGUUAAAAUUGUAAAUUUGGCAGUUAAUGAUGAGAUCCAGAUGCUAAGAUGGUCCAUUUGUAUUUGCCUGCCUAAUUGAUUUUUAUUUUGAUUUCUUGCUUCCAUUUUUUAUAUUAUUUUUUCCUCCCCAGUAAACUCAGAUUUUCUUCAGAGAGACAACUGUUACUGAUUGGGUUUUUUACCACUUUUCACUUGUAGGGUUUUUAAUAAAUUUACAGAUACUGUGCUAACGUGGGAGAAAUGAAUACUUUAUAGAAGCACAGUGUGUAAGGAGAAGAAAUCACCAUUUUGUGAAUACUGGCAGAUCAGGCUUUUACUGGUAGAAAAUAGUGGAAAAAAAUACUUUUAUGUUCCAUAAUCCUCUUUAUCUGCCUUCAUACUUUGUAAAGGGUGUCUUUCUGUUCACUUUCUAUCUUUCUUCUUCUCUUUCUUCUAACAAAUAAAUUAUUACAAGUCUAGUCAGCAGAAAAAUGCAUGCUGAAGUGACUGAUACUCUAUCAGACUCAGGUAUCUUCUGUCUUAACUUCGGUCUCCCUUCUGCUUCCUUCUUCAUUUUUCAGUAUUGGUAUCCUGUUCAUCAUCCCAAAUCCUAAAGGCAGGGUCAGUUGAGGAAAUAAAACGCCUGAUUUACUGGAAGAGGUGAUAACUUCAUUACAUCAAAUAACACAGGUGGAGUGCAAAAAUGGAAGAGCUUAGGGACACAAACAGUCGGUGGUUUUGGCAGCCCAGGAGACAGGAGUCUUUUUCCCUAAAAACCUGACAUUCAACUCCAUCUGUGUCACUGUGUAACAGUGGAUCCUAUCAACCAUUGUAUUUUACUAGGAGCUCUUUUACCACCACCUCUGAAAGUGAGCAUCAGAUAUCUUUGCCUUAUUGUACUUUCAAUUCAGUCUUUAUUCCUCCACUGUUUGUUUCUUUUCUGUUUAUCUAGGUAACUUGAUAACUUGUGAUCAACAUGAGGCCCAGUGGUGAAGACAAAUACAGUUUUUCCAUUCUCUCUAAUAAAGUAGACUCUACUAACAUCCUUUACUUCUUCCAUCUCUGCAAUUUCACAUCUCUCCAUUUCAGUGUUGGAUGACACUUCUUUGAGAAUGUCUGAUGAAACUUGAUACAGGUAUCACAUGAAUGCCAGGUUAUAUCCCAUUAUGUCAUGUACAUAUGUUUAGUUUUUCAAACACCGGCAAAAGAUCCAAUUGCUUUGAAAGACAGAAGUGGAAAGUGAGACUACCAUUUUUAGGCAGGCAAUUAAACUCAACUGGUUGCAUUUUGAGAUUAAUGGUACAAUGAAACAGUCUUGUUGCUUAAUCCACUGAAA